UCUCCCCUACUGAAGUACUCACAGCACAGCCCCUCACCAUGGACUGGAGCUGGAGAACCCUCCUCCUGAUGGCCAUGGCAACAGGUGUCCACUCCCAGGUGCAGCUGGUGCAGUCUGGGGCUGAGGUGAGGAAGCCUGGGGCCUCUGUGAAGGUCUCCUGCAAGGCUUCUGGAUACACCUUCACCAGCUAUGCUAUGCACUGGGUGAUACAGGCUCCAGAAAAGGGCCUAAAGUACAUGGGCUGGAUCAACACAAAUACUGGAAAACCCACAUAUGCCCAGGGCUUCUCAGAAAGAUUUGUCUUCUCCAUGGACACCUCUGUCACCACGGCCUAUCUACAGAUCAAUGGCCUCAAGUCUGAGGACACGGCUGUGUAUUACUGUGCAAGAGAC